UCCGUCUUCUUUCAUACGCUUCAUUCCAAACCCUAAUACAAUCCAUCUUCCACCUCUGUGCCUCUCCUCUUUGCAAUCAAGCUUUUGUAUACGGAUCUAAUUUUGGUCUCCAAUAUUCUCUACUGAGGAUAUCUGCAAGUGAGGUGUUCUUCAUAUUAGGGUUCUACUCUAUUAAAUCUUUAUUGUCUAUUGUUCAUGGGUCUUUCACUGUAAAUAUCUCUCUCUUUUGUUUUUUUUUUUUUACUUUUUAUUGUGAUAUCUUUAUAAUAUUCUUAUAGAUCUGUGGCUGAUAGAUCUUAGGGUUUCAAAUUGCGUUGUUUUAGAUCGGUAAUUUAAAUAUCCAGGUGUUUUUGGUUGUUAAUUAGAGGACUAGGAGUAGUUUUGUUUUUACAGGGAUGAAGAGGUCUGGAGACGAUCAUGUUUUCGAGGGUGAUUUUCAUCUUACGCUGCCGAUUGUCUCUGAAUUUGCGGAUCAAUUCGGAAGUCGUUUUAUUCAACAAAAGCUUGAAACUGUUACAACAGAAGAGAAAGAUACGGUGUUUAAUGAAAUUAUGCCUCAAGCUUACUCGCUAAUGACUAAUGUAUUCGGCAAAUAUGUCCUUCAGAAGUUUUUUGAACAUGGAAGUGCUACUCAAAUACGAGAAUUGGCUGAAUAACUCACCGGGCAUGUUCUAACACUGAGUCUUCAGAUGUAUGUAUGGUUGUCGGGUUAUUCAAAAGGCCUUCCCACAAGACUCUUCUUUAGCAGCUCAAAAGGAACAAAAUUUGAAGUUGACAAGCUGGAAUUAGCAAGCUUUCAAGGCCGGU